AAACAGACAGCAAAAAUAAAGUUCUUACAAGUCAAGUGGCCCACUACCCGGGCUGCAGGCUGAAGACGGAAAAAAACGACAAAGAUGAGGAUGAAGAUGUUCACGUUGUGGAGGCUGAGAAAAUACAGGAAUCACGUGCCCACAGGAAUCUGCAGGAGUCUGUGGAGGAGGAAGCCCCUCCGGAGUCCUGGGAUGGUUAUUCCACUCUCUCAGUUCCUCCUGGCACAUCUGCCUUCAAUGAGUCUUACAGGAGCAACUUGCACUCAUUAAAGGAGCAGCAAGUCAACUUGGCUGUCGACAUAGGCAGCUCAGCAUGGAGCUGGUGGAAGCAGAAGAGCCUGAAGU